AGCAGCCGCGGUAAUUCCAGCUCCAAUAGCGUAUAUUAAAGUUGUUGCAGUUAAAAAGCUCGUAGUUGAACUUCGGGGUUUACCCAUUGGUCAGGCUUAAUUGUCUGUACUGGUGAGAUAAAUCUCUACCUUCUGAGGAACUUUCAUGCCAUUUAUUUGGUGUGAUUGGAAAUCAGGACUGUUACUUUGAAAAAAUUAGAGUGUUUAAAGCAGGCUAACGUCUGAAUACAUUAGCAUGGAAUAAUGAAAUAGGACGGAUUGAUUCUAUUUCGUUGGUUUCUAGGAUCACCGUAAUGAUUAAUAGGGAUAGUUGGGGGCAUUAGUAUUCAAUUGUCAGAGGUGAAAUUCUUGGAUUUAUUGAAGACUAACUACUGCGAAAGCAUUUGCCAAGGAUGUUUUCAUUAAUCAAGAACGAAAGUUAGGGGAUCGAAGACGAUCAGAUACCGUCGUAGUCUUAACCAUAAACUAUGCCGACUAGGGAUCGGACGAAGUUAAUUUUAUAAUGACGCGUUCGGCACCU
rnacentral:rRNA from 1 species